rnacentral:lncRNA from 1 species
GAAAAAAGUGGCAGCAAAAUGUUUAUUUCAUCACACGAGUCGCGAAUUUCCUUAAAACAGCUAUCAUAUUCAUGAUUAUGAACAUUGGGAUGUAUCAGGCAACACUAUCUUCACUUUUAACACAAGUUCAGUUUAUUUUUCACUUUAUGACGGAAAUAAAAUGGCUUAGGGUUGGCGCUCAAAAUAGGGUCAGUCGGGUAACCGUAAACAGACAUAUAUUUUUUGUU